rnacentral:rRNA from 1 species
AGAGUUUGAUCCUGGCUCAGGAUGAACGCUGGCGGCGUGCUUAACACAUGCAAGUCGAACGAAGCACCUUGAUUUGAUUCUUCGGAUGAAGAUCUUGGUGACUGAGUGGCGGACGGGUGAGUAACGCGUGGGUAACCUGCCUCAUACAGGGGGAUAACAGUUAGAAAUGACUGCUAAUACCGCAUAAGACCACAGCACCGCAUGGUGCAGGGGUAAAAACUCCGGUGGUAUGAGAUGGACCCGCGUCUGAUUAGGUAGUUGGUGGGGUAACGGCCUACCAAGCCGACGAUCAGUAGCCGACCUGAGAGGGUGACCGGCCACAUUGGGACUGAGACACGGCCCAAACUCCUACGGGAGGCAGCAGUGGGGAAUAUUGCACAAUGGGGGAAACCCUGAUGCAGCGACGCCGCGUGAGCGAUGAAUUAUUUCGGUAUGUAAAGCUCUAUCAGCAGGGAAGAAAAUGACGGUACCUGACUAAGAAGCACCGGCUAAAUACGUGCCAGCAGCCGCGGUAAUACGUAUGGUGCAAGCGUUAUCCGGAUUUACUGGGUGUAAAGGGAGCGUAGACGGAGUGGCAAGUCUGAUGUGAAAACCCGGGGCUCAACCCCGGGACUGCAUUGGAAACUGUCAAUCUAGAGUACCGGAGAGGUAAGCGGAAUUCCUAGUGUAGCGGUGAAAUGCGUAGAUAUUAGGAGGAACACCAGUGGCGAAGGCGGCUUACUGGACGGUAACUGACGUUGAGGCUCGAAAGCGUGGGGAGCAAACAGGAUUAGAUACCCUGUAGUCCACGCCGUAAACGAUGACUACUAGGUGUCGGGCAGCAAAGCUGUUCGGUGCCGCAGCAAACGCAAUAAGUAGUCCACCUGGGGAGUACGUUCGCAAGAAUGAAACUCAAAGGAAUUGACGGGGACCCGCACAAGCGGUGGAGCAUGUGGUUUAAUUCGAAGCAACGCGAAGAACCUUACCUGCUCUUGACAUCUCCCUGACCGGCAAGUAAUGUUGCCUUUCCUUCGGGACAGGGAUGACAGGUGGUGCAUGGUUGUCGUCAGCUCGUGUCGUGAGAUGUUGGGUUAAGUCCCGCAACGAGCGCAACCCCUAUCUUUAGUAGCCAGCGGUCAGGCCGGGCACUCUAGAGAGACUGCCAGGGAUAACCUGGAGGAAGGUGGGGAUGACGUCAAAUCAUCAUGCCCCUUAUGAGCAGGGCUACACACGUGCUACAAUGGCGUAAACAAAGGGAGGCAGAACCGCGAGGUCGAGCAAAUCCCAAAAAUAACGUCUCAGUUCGGAUUGUAGUCUGCAACUCGACUACAUGAAGCCGGAAUCGCUAGUAAUCGCGAAUCAGAAUGUCGCGGUGAAUACGUUCCCGGGUCUUGUACACACCGCCCGUCACACCAUGGGAGUCAGUAACGCCCGAAGUCAGUGACCCAACCGUAAGGAGGGAGCUGCCGAAGGUGGGACCGAUAACUGGGGUGAAGUCGUAACAAGGUA